CUCCAUUUUAAAUCUCUCACAGAAAGGUUUGAGUUGUUCUGUAAUAUAAAACCUUUGCUGUCAAUGCAAAUCGCAUGAAAAGCAAAGAUGCGUCCGGAAGUUAAAGGAAACUCAACAACUCUAGUCCACUCCUGCUUAGUAGGCUGAAGCUGGAGAGAUGCUCUUGAAGUCGGGUUUCAGCACUGGAUGCCUUUGCCGUGCAGAUUCACCAAGACAAGAAAGAUACACCCAGUGGCAGCAAGUCCCACGCACCUGGGAGCCUACAGAAACUAGACAAGAUGUGAGAGGAGCAUCAGAGGCUCUCCAGUUACCUGCUGGUGAACUAGAAAGCCAGAGUGAAAGCCCACCAGCUAAACUGCCCUUUCAAGUUUCCAUUUUAGGCGUUCCACUGUUUGCCCACUGCCUCCUAGGCUGCGAGCUCACUACAGGAAAAGUAAAUAUUGUCAUUUCAAAUAAAG
rnacentral:lncRNA from 1 species